rnacentral:pre_miRNA from 1 species
AUGAUAUGAAAUUAGCAUUUGGACAUAUAAUUUCACGUUGAUUUCAUAUCAUGA